GCCUUCUACCAAAUACUUUAUUUAAUCGAUCAUAACCAAAAUACGCAUGCUACAAACAAGAUGGUCAUCGUGACCAAUGCAUCCAUACAAACCAACCAUUUAUCCGACUAACGAAAACAACAGAUCGACUUACCACGACUAAACUUGACGCGGUGUCCGCGAACAUGGCGAUAGUUUCGGUUCAGUCUUUCUAUUUGACACCUAGCAAGCGUCACGCGUCUUCGACAGAGGGCUGCAAGAAACGGCAACGAUUUAUAGGUUUGACAUUACAUCAAACACAGGGCAUGCAGGGACAGCGAGGUCUCACCGAGGUUUGACGACAGUGCAACCGGGCUGCCCAAAAAUCACG
rnacentral:lncRNA from 1 species